CCUACGGGUGGCAGCAGUGAGGAAUAUUGGUCAAUGGACGCAAGUCUGAACCAGCCAUGCCGCGUGCAGGAAGACGGCUCUAUGAGUUGUAAACUGCUUUUGUACGAGGGUAAACGCAGAUACGCGUAUCUGUCUGAAAGUAUCGUACGAAUAAGGAUCGGCUAACUCCGUGCCAGCAGCCGCGGUAAUACGGAGGAUUCAAGCGUUAUCCGGAUUUAUUGGGUUUAAAGGGUGCGUAGGCGGUCGGAUAAGUUAGAGGUGAAAGUCUGAGGCUCAACUUCGGAAUUGCCUCUGAUACUGUCAGUCUAGAGAGUAGUUGCGGUAGGCGGAAUGCAUGGUGUAGCGGUGAAAUGCUUAGAGAUCAUACAGAACACCGAUUGCGAAGGCAGCUUAC
rnacentral:rRNA from 1 species